CCUACGGGGGGCAGCAGUGGGGAAUAUUGCACAAUGGGCGCAAGCCUGAUGCAGCCAUGCCGCGUGUGUGAAGAAGGCCUUCGGGUUGUAAAGCACUUUCAGCGGGGAGGAAGGCGGUGAGGUUAAUAACCUCAUCGAUUGACGUUACCCGCAGAAGAAGCACCGGCUAACUCCGUGCCAGCAGCCGCGGUAAUGCGGAGGGUGCAAGCGUUAAUCGGAAUUACUGGGCGUAAAGCGCACGCAGGCGGUCUGUCAAGUCGGAUGUGAAAUCCCCGGGCUCAACCUGGGAACUGCAUUCGAAACUGGCAGGCUAGAGUCUUGUAGAGGGGGGUAGAAUUCCAGGUGUAGCGGUGAAAUGCGUAGAGAUCUGGAGGAAUACCGGUGGCGAAGGCGGCCCCCUGGACAAAGACUGACGCUCAGGUGCGAAAGCGUGGGGAGCAAACAGGAUUAGAUACCCUAGUAGUC
rnacentral:rRNA from 1 species